GUGCUUGCUUUGGCAGCACAUAUCUUAAAAUUGGAAUGAUACAGAGAAGAUCAGCAUGGCCCCUGUGCAAGGAUGCAUGCAAAUUCGUGAAACAUUUCAUAUAUAU